AGGAUUGAGGAAAAGAUAUCAAAGAACCUCAUAUGGUAUGUCCUUCUGAUUUCUAUCCUCUUGCCUUGGCUUAAAUCAGCUUUCACCACAACAUCACAUGAGCUCUUCAGUUAGUCCUUCUUGUGAAAAGCAUGCAAUCAUUAUAGUAUGUAUCUAUCUUCUCGUAUCCCAUAUCUAACUCUUUUAUUAUUUUCUUUGAAGUAUAAAAGCUCACAACAAGCUUUUUAUCCUU
rnacentral:lncRNA from 1 species